CGGGACACGUGGUAUCCUGUCUGAAUAUGGGGGGACCAUCCUCCAAGGCUAAAUACUCCUGACUGACCGAUAGUGAACCAGUACCGUGAGGGAAAGGCGAAAAGAACCCCGGCGAGGGGAGUGAAAAAGAACCUGAAACCGUGUACGUACAAGCAGUGGGAGCACGCUUAGGCGUGUGACUGCGUACCUUUUGUAUAAUGGGUCAGCGACUUAUAUUCUGUAGCAAGGUUAACCGAAUAGGGGAGCCGAAGGGAAACCGAGUCUUAACUGGGCGUUAAGUUGCAGGGUAUAGACCCGAAACCCGGUGAUCUAGCCAUGGGCAGGUUGAAGGUUGGGUAACACUAACUGGAGGACCGAACCGACUAAUGUUGAAAAAUUAGCGGAUGACUUGUGGCUGGGGGUGAAAGGCCAAUCAAACCGGGAGAUAGCUGGUUCUCCCCGAAAGCUAUUUAGGUAGCGCCUCGUGAAUUCAUCUCCGGGGGUAGAGCACUGUUUCGGCAAGGGGGUCAUCCCGACUUACCAACCCGAUGCAAACUGCGAAUACCGGAGAAUGUUAUCACGGGAGACACACGGCGGGUGCUAACGUCCGUCGUGAAGAGGGAAACAACCCAGACCGCCAGCUAAGGUCCCAAAGUCAUGGUUAAGUGGGAAACGAUGUGGGAAGGCCCAGACAGCCAGGAUGUUGGCUUAGAAGCAGCCAUCAUUUAAAGAAAGCGUAAUAGCUCACUGGUCGAGUCGGCCUGCGCGGAAGAUGUAACGGGGCUAAACCAUGCACCGAAGCUGCGGCAGCGACACUAUGUGUUGUUGGGUAGGGGAGCGUUCUGUAAGCCUGUGAAGGUGUACUGUGAGGUAUGCUGGAGGUAUCAGAAGUGCGAAUGCUGACAUAAGUAACGAUAAAGCGGGUGAAAAGCCCGCUCGCCGGAAGACCAAGGGUUCCUGUCCAACGUUAAUCGGGGCAGGGUGAGUCGACCCCUAAGGCGAGGCCGAAAGGCGUAGUCGAUGGGAAACAGGUUAAUAUUCCUGUACUUGGUGUUACUGCGAAGGGGGGACGGAGAAGGCUAUGUUGGCCGGGCGACGGUUGUCCCGGUUUAAGCGUGUAGGCUGGUUUUCCAGGCAAAUCCGGAAAAUCAAGGCUGAGGCGUGAUGACGAGGCACUACGGUGCUGAAGCAACAAAUGCCCUGCUUCCAGGAAAAGCCUCUAAGCAUCAGGUAACAUCAAAUCGUACCCCAAACCGACACAGGUGGUCAGGUAGAGAAUACCAAGGCGCUUGAGAGAACUCGGGUGAAGGAACUAGGCAAAAUGGUGCCGUAACUUCGGGAGAAGGCACGCUGAUAUGUAGGUGAAGUCCCUCGCGGAUGGAGCUGAAAUCAGUCGAAGAUACCAGCUGGCUGCAACUGUUUAUUAAAAACACAGCACUGUGCAAACACGAAAGUGGACGUAUACGGUGUGACGCCUGCCCGGUGCCGGAAGGUUAAUUGAUGGGGUUAGCGCAAGCGAAGCUCUUGAUCGAAGCCCCGGUAAACGGCGGCCGUAACUAUAACGGUCCUAAGGUAGCGAAAUUCCUUGUCGGGUAAGUUCCGACCUGCACGAAUGGCGUAAUGAUGGCCAGGCUGUCUCCACCCGAGACUCAGUGAAAUUGAACUCGCUGUGAAGAUGCAGUGUACCCGCGGCAAGACGGAAAGACCCCGUGAACCUUUACUAUAGCUUGACACUGAACAUUGAGCCUUGAUGUGUAGGAUAGGUGGGAGGCUUUGAAGUGUGGACGCCAGUCUGCAUGGAGCCGACCUUGAAAUACCACCCUUUAAUGUUUGAUGUUCUAACGUUGACCCGUGAUCCGGGUUGCGGACAGUGUCUGGUGGGUAGUUUGACUGGGGCGGUCUCCUCCUAAAGAGUAACGGAGGAGCACGAAGGUUGGCUAAUCCUGGUCGGACAUCAGGAGGUUAGUGCAAUGGCAUAAGCCAGCUUGACUGCGAGCGUGACGGCGCGAGCAGGUGCGAAAGCAGGUCAUAGUGAUCCGGUGGUUCUGAAUGGAAGGGCCAUCGCUCAACGGAUAAAAGGUACUCCGGGGAUAACAGGCUGAUACCGCCCAAGAGUUCAUAUCGACGGCGGUGUUUGGCACCUCGAUGUCGGCUCAUCACAUCCUGGGGCUGAAGUAGGUCCCAAGGGUAUGGCUGUUCGCCAUUUAAAGUGGUACGCGAGCUGGGUUUAGAACGUCGUGAGACAGUUCGGUCCCUAUCUGCCGUGGGCGCUGGAGAACUGAGGGGGGCUGCUCCUAGUACGAGAGGACCGGAGUGGACGCAUCACUGGUGUUCGGGUUGUCAUGCCAAUGGCACUGCCCGGUAGCUAAAUGCGGAAGAGAUAAGUGCUGAAAGCAUCUAAGCACGAAACUUGCCCCGAGAUGAGUUCUCCCUGACUCCUUGAGAGUCCUGAAGGAACGUUGAAGACGACGACGUUGAUAGGCCGGGUGUGUAAGCGCAGCGAUGCGUUGAGCUAACCGGUACUAAUGAACCGUGAGG
rnacentral:rRNA from 1 species